UACGAAGGGGGCUAGCGUUGUUCGGAAUUACUGGGCGUAAAGGGUUUGUAGGCGGUUGAACAAGUCAGUGGUGAAAGCCCAGAGCUUAACUCUGGAAUUGCCAUUGAAACUGUUCGGCUUGAGUGUGUUAGAGGAAAGUGGAAUUCCUAGUGUAGGAGUGAAAUCCGUAGAGAUUAGGAGGAAUAUCGAUGGCGAAGGCAGCUUUCUGGGACAUUUCUGACGCUGAGAAACGAAAGCGUGGGUAGCAAACAGG
rnacentral:rRNA from 1 species